UGCAUAGUGGUGCAGUUGGUAGCACUGUUGCCUUGCAGCAAGAAGGUUCCUGGGUUCGACUCCCGGCCAGGCGUCUUUCGGCAU